UAGAGUGCAGUGGUGUGAUCACAGCUUAUUGAAGCCUAGACCUCCCGGGCUCAGGCAGUCCUCCCACUUCAACCUCCCCAGUAGCUGGGACUACGGGUGUGCACUACCACUCCUGGAUAAUUUUUUUUCUUUUGAGGCAGAGUUUUGCCAUGUUGCUCAGCCCAUGUUUCUCCAACUCUCAAGCUCAACCAAUCUGCCUGCGUUGGCCUCCCAAAGUGCUGGGAUUACAGGCGUGAGCCCCCACAACCAGCCAAAUACCGGUUUUACCACCAUAUAUUUGUAUACAUUUUGAUUUGUCAGUUAAAAGAACCCAGCUCUGAUAUAAGCUCAUGUGACUGGGAUCUGUACUGAACCCAUUUCGUUUUCCUUUCUGUUUCUGCAGAGGAGCUUGACUGGAAAAAGGGGCUGAGAGCUGCUUCUGUUACCAAGGACCUUCCCCAAGGCAGGCAUCUCUGGAGAUGGUGUGGAGCCCGAGGUAGCUUGUCCAGGCCUUUGAUCACCGGGAAAGCCAUUGCUCUUCCACAUUUCACGUCUGCCGUGGCUUGCUGCUGACACUGCUUUCAGACCUCUGGAAUCAGAAAAGGGGGUGACUGUACCAGGGAGCACACAUUUGCCUUUUGACUUUCAGUUUAGAGAUUUCAUUCAGUCUAAGAAUCAGUUAAUUCAGCUGCUGGCCACCCCAAGCUCCUCAUUGCCUUUUGAGAAGUCACUCCAUACACCAGUUGGGAUACAGUGUGCAAGGUCAUUGCCAGUACAACUGCAAGAGGAAAUAGAAUUGACUGUAUUGACUUUGAUAGUAACUCAUAUUACAUGUACCCUACAAUCUGCAAAGAACUUUAAACAUAUUUUAUUUGCUUCCUUCAAUAACUAUGAAGAAUAUUCAAGAACUUGUUCAUAAUGACUUUCUCUGGGGAGUAAGAGUAUAGGGACUAUUACAUGUAUUCAAAUUGUGUUACUUUUCUUGUGCACAUGUAAUCUGUUUGUAUGUGAAAAAAAGAUUUAAGAAUAUCUGCUGAGAAAAAAUGGUAAAGGAUAGGUGGCAAGUGCAGCAUUUGGUGAUUCUGGCUAUGGUAUAUGGAAUUCUUUGUACUAUUCUUUAAAUCUUUCAAUAAGUUUGAAAUUAUAUCAGGAUAAAAAGUGAAUGAUUGCAUAAAAAUAUUAAAAGCAUGUAAUUCUUGGGUAAUGCUUAAAAUGGGUAAUUCCAAUACAUUUCCUUGGAAUUUCCCUAGGAAUCCCAAUAAAGUUUAGAAUGCAGGCUCUGCUUAUAAUCA
rnacentral:lncRNA from 13 species